UUUAAUAGUCAUUUUAAUUUUAAGAUGGGUUCUUUAUAACUAUAUAAAAGACAAUAAUAUUUAAUUGAUAUAAGGACAAUUGGAUCUUUGAUAGAUAUAAAUUGAUUAAACUAUUUCUUAAAUACAAAGAAGAAAUAUGGUUGAGAUUGUCAAACUUAUUUGUUCAAUAAUUAUCUUUACUUCUCUCUUCUUUGUGCCAUCUCGCCGUGGAAGAAUUGGUAGAUGUAAAAACGAUGAUGAUUGUUUCAUCCCUGCAUGCCAGCCACCAAAGAUAGUGAAGUGUGACAAUAAACAUUGCGCAUGUCUUAAAGUAACAUCUCUCUUUCAUUAUGCUCCGAUUUGAUGAUGUAUUUAGUAUUUUAUUCAAGAGAGUAACAAAUGCUCUACAAGAAUAAAUUAUGACUAUAAUAUAGUUAUUGUAUGUCCAAAGCAUAAUUUGUUUAUUUUUUUCUUUUUGAUUUCAAGAACAUUGUAUUAUUCUUAAUUUUAUUUAAAUCGUGUUUCUCUCUCA